rnacentral:sRNA from 1 species
CGCGGCCGGGCCCCAGCAUGGCUGCCCCCACGGUUGCGGGCCUGGCAGCUGCUGCGCCCUCGCUUUCUUGACAUUCCCUGGCUUCUGUGCUCUCUUCCCCAGGCCACCCCAGCAGACAUGUUUGCCAAGGCCUUUCGGGUCAAGUCCAACACGGCCAUCAAGGGGUCGGACAGGAGAAAGCUUCGAGCUGAUGUGACAACUGCUUUCCCCACCCUUGGAACUGAUCAAGUCUCUGAGUUAGUACCUGGAAAGGAGGAGCUCAAUGUUGUGAAGUUGUAUGCUCACAAAGGGGAUGCAGUGACUGUGUACGUGAGUGGUGGUAACCCCAUCCUCUUUGAACUGGAGAAAAAUCUGUAUCCAACAGGUAUGACAACAGGACGAAGAUGGCCAUUACCAUUAGUGUACACGCUGUGGUCCUAUCCUGAUCUUCUGCCAACCUUUACAACAUGGCCUCUGGUACUCGAGAAACUGGUAGGGGGAGCAG